AGAGUUUGAUCCUGGCUCAGAACGAACGCUGGCGGCAUGCCUAACACAUGCAAGUCGGACGCUCCCGGGGGUUUCGGCCUCUGGGGGAGUGGCGGACGGGUGAGUAGCGCGUGGGAACCUGCCCUGUUGUGGGGGAUAACCGAGGGAAACUUCGGCUAAUACCGCAUGCGCCGGGAGCGAUCCCGGGAAAGAUUUAUCGC
rnacentral:rRNA from 1 species